CAGAAUAAAAGGACGAGUACCAGAUUUAACCACAGGUCAUAGUUCUGACACUGGAGGAAGAAAAAUAAAUUACGGACUCACACCCACACUAUCUGCCGGCAAAGUAACAUGUGGUGAGGACUGGAAAAUUUGUAACUGCCAUGUAGGACAGACCCAAGCCUGAAGUUCAAAAAUGAAAUAUGCUCGCUCUUCAUGUCACACUGAAAGCCGAAAGCUGCUCAGACUUUCAAAAAAAAAAAAAUUUUCUAGCAGGAUGUCACAUGCGGUAACCAGUAUAUCAGAUAAAGUCUCCCAUUCAAAGGGCAACGCACUACAUGGAAAUAAUGAGAACAACACACAAAAACCACACCUGUUCCUGCAGACCGGUUGGGCAGGUCUACCUGUGCUGCAAGCACCUGCAUGAUCUGCACUCUUCAGCUGUCUCUUCCUUUUAAAAGCCAGCUGAUGUAGAAGAUUAUUUAAAAGGCCAUUGACACCUUUGGUCACGUUUGUAUUGCACUGCAAUAAUGUAAUAAAA